rnacentral:rRNA from 1 species
UACGUAGGGUGCGAGCGUUGUCCGGAAUUACUGGGCGUAAAGCGUGCGCAGGCGGUUAUGCAAGACAGAUGUGAAAUCCCCGGGCUUAACCUGGGAACCGCAUUUGUGACUGCAUAGCUGGAGUACGGCAGAGGGGGAUGGAAUUCCGCGUGUAGCAGUGAAAUGCGUAGAUAUGCGGAGGAACACCGAUGGCGAAGGCAGUCCCCUGGGCCUGUACUGACGCUCAUGCACGAAAGCGUGGGGAGCAAACAGG